CUCUAUCAAUAUAAAAAUAGGAGAGUACAAAUAAAUUUUAAAAACCAAAAUAUAUGGCGGCAUUUUAUUCAACUAGAGGGGUCUAUAAUUUAAUAUGGUAGUCCACGAUAAUUACUUCUAGGUUUGAAAAAAGUUUGUGUAUUGUCGUAUAAUAUUUUCUUUAAAGAUAAUAUAAUAAAAUUUUUAUUAUGUUUAUAUUAAAAAAUACUUAAACAGAUCAUAAUGCAACUUAUACCUAGAAAUUUAAGGAUCACGAUUUUUAUAUAGCUUUAGUUUAAUGUUUAAUUAAAAAAAUAAUAGAAUUUAGUAGUAAUAAAAUUUAUUUAGUUUUAUGAAUAAGAUUUAAAAAUGUG
rnacentral:rRNA from 1 species